UCAGAAGGAAUGGUGGUUAAAUGCCCAAGGUGUCCGGCUGGAGUAGUCUGGAAUCAUAGAUCAUCAGAGUUGAAGAUCAUCUGGGACAAGGAUGUUCAUGAAGAAGUGAAAAACUGUGGAAGACACCAGCUUCUAAGGAUCGAAUAGGGACCUGAGGAGGAGGCAACGAAGUGAGAAGAAACCCAGAACAAAAGGGCACGAAGCAGUUUAGAUGAAGAGAUUCUCUAAGGAUGCAUGUAUGCGGCACCACAUUCCCUUACUCAAAAUCCUCAGGGCCUGCCGUGUUUCACGUGUCAGAAUUUGGGGAUCUGAGGAAGAUAACAUGGAGCAUGCACUGCAGACAACAUAACAUCCUGCAGCAUCUGCGACAGUGUCCUCCAAUCAAUCGUGCCAAUAUUUCUGCAGUGAGAUGUGCAUGUUGAAUAAAGAAAGACUA